GGGCCUGUAGCUCAGCCCGGUAGAGCAUCGCCCUUGCAAGGCGGGGGCCGCGGGUUCAAAUCCCGCCGGGUCCA
rnacentral:tRNA from 1 species